rnacentral:piRNA from 1 species
UNGUACAUGCUUUUCAGUGUGUUUCGAGGA